GUCACAUUUCGCUGCAUCCCGCCAAGAUUAUUUCUUUAAAAUGUUUCCAGGUAUUAUCCACAGGCUCUUUUUGCCAUACAAUGUUUCUUAAACUCAUUCUUGUGCCAAAAUUCAGUUAAAUUCGUCCACAUUUGUUAGAAAUACGUAUCUAAAUUUCCCCGCCAUAUUGGAUUUUGUUGUUUUGAUUUCCCGCUCCCCCCAGCCAUCACGAAAAUCAUUAAUUGCACUCCUGGAGAGUGCAAUUAAUGAAAUAAUUGCACUCCUCUUAACCAAUCAGAUUGCAGUAAUUUUGUUAUGUAUAUAAUAAAUAAUUUAAUCGUUGUUGUGCCGGUUUGGGUAUAAGUGUAGACAUGUCAGUAGUAUAAUUCCAUUCUGAACUUGCUUUGUGUUGUCGAUUUUAUUCAAAUCUGCGACAUUUGUAAGCCAUUCUUGACACGGUAAUUCACAAUGAAUAAUGUGUUUUAAUGCAAGCUGGUAUACAUGAAAUUACAGCGAACGUUAUCUCGAAUGUUAUCGUUAUUAAGCUAACGCAUCAGUUGCGUUUUUAUGUUUGUUUAUGGUCUUAAUACUUUAUGUGGAAUUUAAAA